AUUGAACGCUGGCGGCAUGCCUUACACAUGCAAGUCGAACGGCAGCACGGGGGCAACCCUGGUGGCGAGUGGCGAACGGGUGAGUAAUGCAUCGGAACGUGCCCAGUAGUGGGGGAUAACCAGUCGAAAGAUUGGCUAAUACCGCAUACGACCUACGGGUGAAAGCGGGGGACCGUAAGGCCUCGCGCUAUUGGAGCGGCCGAUGUCUGAUUAGCUUGUUGGCGGGGUAAGAGCCCACCAAGGCGACGAUCAGUAGCUGGUCUGAGAGGACGACCAGCCACACUGGGACUGAGACACGGCCCAGACUCCUACGGGAGGCAGCAGUGGGGAAUUUUGGACAAUGGGCGCAAGCCUGAUCCAGCCAUGCCGCGUGCGGGAAGAAGGCCUUCAGGUUGUAGACCGCUUUUGGCAGGAACGAAACGGCGACCUCUAAUACGGGUCGUUAAUGACGGUACCUGCAGAAUAAGCACCGGCUAACUACGUGCCAGCCGCCGCCGUAACAC
rnacentral:rRNA from 1 species